GCUCGAGUGGCGAACGGGUGAGUAACACGUGAGUAACCUGCCCUUGACUUUGGGAUAACUUCAGGAAACUGGGGCUAAUACCGGAUAGGAGCUCCUGCUGCAUGGUGGGGGUUGGAAAGUUUCGGCGGUUGGGGAUGGACUCGCGGCUUAUCAGCUUGUUGGUGGGGUAGUGGCUUAUCAAGGCUUUGACGGGUAGCCGGCCUGAGAGGGUGACCGGCCACAUUGGGACUGAGAUACGGCCCAG
rnacentral:rRNA from 1 species